rnacentral:misc_RNA from 1 species
GAUGAAACGCAGCGAAAUGCGAUAAGUAAUGUGAAUUGCAGAAUUCAGUGAAUCAUCGAAUCUUUGAACGCACAUUGCGCCCCCUGGUAUUCCGGGGGGCAUGCCUGUUCGAGCGUCAUUUCACCACUCAAGCCUCGCUUGGUAUUGGGCAACGCGGUCCGCCGCGUGCCUCAAAUCGACCGGCUGGGUCUUCUGUCCCCUAAGCGUUGUGGAAACUAUUCGCUAAAGGGUGUUCGGGAGGCUACGCCGUAAAACAACCCCAUUUCUAAGGUUGACCUCGGAUCAGGUAGGGAUACCCGCUGAACUUAAGCAUAUCAAUAAGCGGAGGA